GUCAUGUUUGCAUUGACAUGCUUGGUAGAUUUAUUUAGCAGUGAUGUAUCAGUGAAUUGUACAUAUAUUGCGAGCUGUUCCCGAAUGAAUAGCAAUUGAGGGAAAAGAGUACAAGAGCUCGUAUCAGUACAGGCAAUCCGGACGGCAAAAUAUAUACUGGAAACAAAUAAUUGUGUUGGAAGAGCAUGCCAUGUUUGCAUUGACGUUUAUUUAUAGGCUUAUUCGCCGGUUAUAGUGACAAAAUAAUGGAUAGAUAUAUUUGGCAGUGAUGUGUCAGUGACGUGUAUUUAUAUCUCAGAAAAGGAGUACAAGAGAGGUGGAGCUCGUAUCGGCAGGACGCUUAUGGAUACGAUGGACAGCAGUAAUAAAUACAGACACUUCCUGGACGACGAGCUGGUCUGUAUACCUCGUGCGCUGGUCAAUUGGCGAGUAAAUAUACAUGCUCAUCUAGCACGAGCACCGCGCGAGCCACAACCUCUUACUCUAGAGGCGCUUACCAGAAUCAGAACCACCAGUCCUGGCAAGCACAUGUGUCACAUCCAGAUGUGGAACUUCGAGAAACGCCUGAAGACCCUAAAGGACAUAGCAUCAUCACUGCUACAGGGGGUCUCGGAGAUCCAGCUUAAGGAUAUGGCAAAUGCCGGAUUCUUUUACUCAGGCCAGGGGAACACACUUAUAUGCGCCCAUUGUGGUAACAUUCUUCAUGACUGGGUUGAGGGUGACUGUCCCUGGAAGCGCCACGCCGAACUCAACUCCAAGUGUCCUUUACUGACAAGAGGUUGCAGUUUGGACAAAGCAGGGGAAGUGACGUCCCUGCGAAAACGACACAGUUCUGGCAGUGCAGGCUGACCAAGUAACGCCAAACAUUCCGGAUGACAUCCUUAUCUACUUAUGUAUGCUUCAGCUGCCUUUAGUAGUUUUAUGUUAAUAUAUGCUACGUUGCUUCCUAAUACGUGUACAAAAGCAUGACGUUUAGGGAAUGUAAAUAUUACGUAAUUGACAAAGUGAAAUUUACAUACCGAGCACGAGACAUGAACCCUGAACAUAGGGAUACAGCUGCUGAAGCAAAAGUAUAAAGCAAAUUUUAAAGCUAUGAAGCUUGGAAAUUUAAGGGAAGCUAAAAAAAAGUAUGCUCUGUUGAGUGAGUGAGUGAGUGAGUUUGGUUUGACGCCGCUUUUAGCAAUAUUCUAGCAACAUCACGGCGGGGGAUAACAGAAAUCGGCUUCACACAAUGCUCUGUUGAUAUGUGUGAAAAAUAGAAUAUACUCUUUAGGCAGAGAAUGCUAUAUUGAUAUGCCAGACGCAGAUAAUAUGCUCUGGUAUGUAUGUCAGACAGGGGGAGUAUGCUCUGUUGAAUUAUUAAGCACAAACAAUAUGCUCUGUUGAUUCGGCAAAUACAGAUGGUAUAUAUGCUUUGUUGAUUCAGCAGACACAGAAACUAUGUUCUAGUGGUUCGUCAGACACAGAAGCUGUGUUCUGUUGAUUAGUCAGACUCAGAAGAUACGUUCUUUUAAUCCGUCAGACACAGAGGCUAUGUUCCGUAGAUUCUUCAGACACAGAAGGUAUGCUCUGUUGGUUCGUCAGACACAGAAGGUAUGUUCUAUUGGUUCGUCAGAACACAAAAGCUAUGUUCUAGCUUCGUCAGGCACAAAAGCUAUGUUCAGUAGAUUCGUCAGACACAGAAGAUAUGCUCUGUUGAUUCGUCAGACACAGAAGAUAUGCUCUGUAGAUACGUCAGACACAUAAGGUAUGUUCUAUUGAUUCGUCAGACAAAAAAGCUGUUCAGCUAUUGAUUCGUCAGGCAAAAAAGCUGUCUUAUCUUGAUUCGUCAGAAAGAGAAGGUAUGUUCUGUUGAUUCGUCAGUCACAGAAGAUAUGUUCUGUUGGUUCGUGAGACGCAAAUUAUGAAAUCAGAAGUUAUGCUAUGCUGAUAUGUCAGACACAGGGAAUGUACUCUGUUGAUGUGUCAGACAGAAAGUAUGCUAUGCUGAUUGUUGGAUACAGGGAAUAUGCUCUGUUGAUAUGUCAGACAGAAAGUAUGCUAUGCUGAUAUGUCAGAUACAGGGGAUAUGCCCUGUUGGUAUCUCAGACACAAGGAAUGUGCUCCGUUAAUGUUUCAGACACAGAAAGUAUGCUAUACUGAUAUGUCAGGCACAAGGAAUAUGCCUUGUUGAUAUGUCAGACACUGGGAAUAUGCCUUGUUGAUAUGUCAGACACUGGGAAUAUGCUCCGUUGAUAUGUCAGACACCGGGAAUAUGCCUUGUUGAUAUGUCAGACACUGGGAAUAUGCUCUGUUGAUAUGUCAGACACUGGGAAUAUGCCUUGUUGAUAUGUCAGACACUGGGAAUAUGCUCUGUUGAUAUGUCAGACACUGGGAAUAUGCCUUGUUGAUAUGUCAGACACUGGAAAUAUGCUCUGUUGAUAUGUCAGACACUCGGAAUAUGCUCUGUUGAUAUGUCAGACAGAAUUUAUGCUAUGCUGAUACGUCAGGCACAGGGAAUAUGCCUUGUUGAUAUGUCAGACACUGGGAAUAUGCCUUGUUGAUAUGUCAGACACCGGGAAUAUGCUCUGUUGAUAUGUCAGACACUGGGAAUAUGCUCUGUUGAUAUGUCAGACAGAAUUUAUGCUAUGCUGAUAUGUCAGGCACAGGAAAUAUGCUCUGUUGACAUGUCAGACAGAAAGUAUGCUUCAGACACAGAAAGUGUGUUCUGUUCAUAUGUAAGACACAGAGAGAUAUGACAGAUAAAACCAGUAUGCCCUGAUUAUUAAUGUGUCAUCUACAGAUAUUUUAGAUAAAGAAAGUAUGCUUUGUUGCUAUGUGGGAAUCUGAUGUUAUGCUCGUUGACAGGUAAAUAAUUUCUCUGCUGUUAUGUCAUAUGUCACAUACAGUGUAUGCUCUGUUGAUAUGUCAGUCUCAGAAAGUAUGCUCUCUUAAAGUUGACACCCUAUUCUUAGGCUCGCAGUACUAUCUUGGACAUGUAUUAUGUAGCUCUAGCAAAUAAACUCUGCACUUUC
rnacentral:misc_RNA from 1 species